AUUUCUUCAGAAUUUGAAAACUGACAUAAUUGGAGGAACUGUUUAUUUUAUCAAGGCUUUGACUGGAAUGAUAUGCUUUCCUUUAAAGAAUUAAACUUGACUUAUAGAGCCAAUAAAAGCACCUUGAGAAAACUGGCCUCAUACCUUGUCUACACAGCCCCUGUACAGCGUUCCUAACCUGUGGAUAAGAAACUCCUGCUAAAAAUGAGCUUUCCUAAUAACAUGGGACCUACCUGUCUAGGAAUAAACCAUCCUAAAAUGAGAAAUCACAGGAAACCUGAGACCAGAGACUCAUUUUCUUCUAAAAUGCCUUCUCUGAAAGAUUUCAAAAAGAAAAGGGGUAAAUAUGAAGGGGAAAUAAAUCUUGGGACCCCCAAAUCUCUAUGCUAAAGGGAAAGGUCAAGCUAGGAACUGCUUAGGGCAAACCUGCCUCCUAUUCUAUUCAAGGUCAUCCCUCUGCUCACUGAGAUAAAUGCACAUCUGACUGUCUUCUUUGGAAAUGCUAAUCAGAAACUCAAAAGAAUGCAACCAGUUUGUCUCUCACCUACCUAUGACCUGGAAACGGAAACCCCUUCCCCAUUUCGAGUUGUCCCUGCCUUUCCAGACUGAACCAAGGUACAACUUAUCCAUAUGGAUUGAUAUCUCAUGUCUCCCUAAAAUGUGUAAAAGCAAAGCUAUGUUCCCACCACCUUGGGCGCAUGUCAUCAGGACCUCCUGAGGCUGGGUCACAGGCAUGCAUCCUUAACUUUGGUAAAGUAAACUUCUUAAAUUGACUGAGACCUGUCUCAGAUAUUUUGUGUUCACAAGGAAUUAUCGUUAAGUUUUCUGGGUCUGGUCAUAAAAUUGUGUUUGUGUUAUGGAUAUACAAUUUGUCUAUGUCAGAGAUUUUUCCUAAAGAAUUUACAAGUAAAAGGAUAUUUUAUCCUUGAUUGCUUUAAGAUACUCUAGUAAAUGAACAAAAAGUGGUGGGGAGGACAGAGUAUAACUAAGAGCAACAGAAUGUUGCUCACUGUUAAAAUGGAGUGAUAGGUGCAUGGACACUUGUUAUACUAUUCUCUCUGCUUUGUGUAUGUUUGACAUUUUCCAUAAUAAAAAGGUAUUAAUUCCCUCAUUCCUGUCUCCCCAA